UACGAAGGGGGCUAGCGUUGCUCGGAAUUACUGGGCGUAAAGGGAGCGUAGGCGGACAUUUAAGUCAGGGGUGAAAUCCCGGGGCUCAACCUCGGAACUGCCCUUGAUACUGGAUGUCUUGAGUGUGAGAGAGGUAUGUGGAACUCCGAGUGUAGAGGUGAAAUUCGUAGAUAUUCGGAAGAACACCAGUGGCGAAGGCGACAUACUGGCUCAUUACUGACGCUGAGGCUCGAAAGCGUGGGGAGCAAACAGG
rnacentral:rRNA from 1 species